rnacentral:lncRNA from 1 species
GGAAAGUCAGGAAAAUGACUUCCCGUUCGGUGGAGAAAGAAGGAAGGAGGAGGAGCGUUUCGGCGUUCUUCCCGUUCGGUGGUGAAAGGAAGGGAAACGCUCCGGCGUGCCAACGAAGUCAGGAAAAUGACUUCCUCUAACUUAGAAGAAUGAGGGAAAGUCAGGAAAAUGACUUCCCAUUCGGUGGAGAAAGAAGGAAGGAGGAGGAGCGUUCCGGCGUUCUUCCCGUUCGGUGGUGAAAGGAAGGGGAACGCUCCGGCGUGCCAAUGAAGUCAGGAAAAUGACUUCCUCUGACUUAGGAGAAUGAGGGAAAGUCAGGAAAAUGACUUCCCGCUCGGUGGUGAAAGAAGGAGGAGGGGUAACGUUCCGGUGUUCUUCCCGUUCGGUGGUGAUAGGGAGAGGAACGCUCCGGCGUGCCAACAAAGUCAGGAAAAUAACUUCCUUGGACUUGGAAAAAUUAGGGGGAUCAUGAAACUGAUUCCCCGUUCGGUGGAGCUUAAACCUUGAAGACAAAAUUAGGAAAACGCUUUCCUAUUCUGGCGUACUGGCCGUCAAACAUAAAUACGNGGGCGUUCGAGAAUAAAUGAAUAAGUCGGUCGGCAUAGCACAAAUCGCAGACAUAUGGUAAUCGUAAAUUGCAGACAUGUGAUAAUUGCGAAGUAAAGACAAAAGUACGCAACAAGUUCAGUACAAACGAUGUGCAAGUACAAAUCACAAAGCGGCAAAAGAAAAACAAGAAGCUAGCAACUAAUCCUUGGUGGCUUUGUCAGAUGGGGGAGCAAGUUGGGAAGCCUGGAGAGCAUCGGUCGGGACCGCCUGAUCGGGUGCGCUAACGGGUUCGGCAGGAAGCUGGGAGGAAAUAUCAACAAGUUGCCCGUCCACCAAAAUCUUCAUAAUGUCGAAACCUUCAUGUUCUACGGGCGACUGGAAGAAGUAAUGGCAUUGAGCGAUUCCCUGCUCAAACCCACGCUGGCGCUCUUCACAAAAUUCGUCCUCCAAGGCAGCGAAGUCGGCCAGCGAUUUAUCCCGGUC